rnacentral:rRNA from 1 species
CGUUCCCGGACCUUGUACACACCGCCCGUCAAGCGAUGGAAGCUGGGAGGACCUGAAGACAGUUGCUGUAAGGCGCUGUUUAGGGUAAAACCGGUGACUGGCNCU